AUGCCCUCUAACCCCCUUGGAGGUAACCCAUAUAUCCACAUCUUCUCCUGCUUUUUGGACCUUUGGCAUUUUGAUUUGAGCUCAUUUUGUAACAGCUUUGUCUAGGACUUCCCUUAUCAUUUAAUCAGUUGUUAUUGUGCUUUGCUGAGAACCUUAACAGAAAUUUCUCUGGUCUUCAACUUUUUCUUGUAGCAUUAGUGAUUUAUUUCAACAUGCUGCAAAGAAUAUAAUGGCCUGUGGCUUGGCGGCCAACUCAAAUAGUUACUUUUAUGUUUUGAUUUUACAGAUUAUUGCUUGGGGUGGGCUUUUUCUUUUUUCCUUAGAAUACUUUUCCAGUUUCACUGUUUCAAAAUGUUAAGAGUUUGGUUUUUUGACCCAUGCUUUACACGUGUAGUAUCAUUGUAGCCAUAAAAAUAGUGACUUGGGGGCCUUUCUAAGCUAAUAGCUUAUUAACUCAACUUCAUUUGGAUUCUACUGUUUGAUUUUUGAUAAAUCAUUCUUUACCAUAUAAAAACUGAAAGAAGAUAUUUUAACAUCAUAUUAUGAUGCACAAAUUGAAAGAGAAAUGAUUUUGAUGCCAUGUUAUCAACAUAUCAUGCCUGCUAUGCUGCAUUUGGAUGAAUGAUAUUCUGUUGUGAUCUGGUUUAUUUUAUAUUCUUUUUUUAUUACACCUUGUUGAUUUUAAUUCAUGCUGAUCUAAUUUGGCAAAAAAUAACUCUUUUUGUGGCUUGAUAUUUUUACUGUCAGCAUAGG
rnacentral:misc_RNA from 1 species